GAUGAAGAACGUAGCGAAAUGCGAUAAGUAAUGUGAAUUGCAGAAUUCAGUGAAUCAUCGAAUCUUUGAACGCACAUUGCGCCCGCCAGUAUUCUGGCGGGCAUGCCUGUUCGAGCGUCAUUUCAACCAUCAAGCCCCAGGCUUGCGUUGGGGACCUGCGGCUGCCGCAGGCCCUGAAAACCAGUGGCGGGCUCGCUGUCACACCGGGCGUAGUAGAUUUUAUCUCGCUCAGGGCGUGCUGCGGGUUCCGGCCGUUAAAAAGCCUUUUUUACCCAAGGUUGACCUCGGAUCAGGUAGGAAUACCCGCUGAACUUAAGCAUAUCAAUAAGCGGAGGA
rnacentral:misc_RNA from 1 species